rnacentral:lncRNA from 1 species
UCUGAUCAGAGCUCUCUCCCUCUCCUCUCGUCUCCUCUUUUCACUACGAUGGCCACGCCCCAGACACACUUACUCCCCGCGACAUCCCCACGCUUUCUCCCACAUCCUUAUAUGCUCCCUUCCCCCCCGCAUUUGUUUCUGCAUACGCCUUCGCAUUCUCACCACCACCACCACCACCACCACCACCACAACCAAAGUGUAAACAGAAUCUGCAUUUGCGUGCGGUGUUAUUAUAUAGGGUGUGGGGUCUAAUUAUUAGAUAUGGCCGGUAACUACAAUCCUUAUUCGCACGUGCGUGAUUAUCCGCAGGAGGGGGAACACG